rnacentral:misc_RNA from 1 species
GAUCUUCAGGUUGCUUCAGAGGAUGUUGUCUAUGACUUUGUUUUAAAGUGGGCUCGGACCCAUUACCCAAACUUGGAAGAAAGACGUGAAAUAUUGGGGUCUCGUCUUUGUCACCUCAUUCGUUUUCCAUACAUGACAUGCAGCAAGCUGAGGAAAGUUCUAACUUGUAAUGAUUUUGAUCCUGAACUAGCUUCCAAGAAUGUAUUGGGGGCUUUAUUUUUCAAAGCUGAAGCACCGCACCGGCAGCGUUUGCUUGUUGCUGAGGAGGGCAAUGCAUCAUGUAGUAGUUUUGUGGAGCGUGCUUACAAGUUUAGACCAAUUAAAGUUCUCAAUUUUGAACUUCCCUUUCAGCAGUGUAUCGUUUACCUAGAUUUAA